rnacentral:rRNA from 1 species
UACGAGGGGGGCAAGCGUUGUUCGGAAUUAUUGGGCGUAAAGAGCUCGUAGGCGGUUUGUCGCGUCGACUGUGAAAACCUACAGCUUAACUGUGGGCUUGCAGUCGAUACGGGCAGACUUGAGUUCGGUAGGGGAGACUGGAAUUCCUGGUGUAGCGGUGAAAUGCGCAGAUAUCAGGAGGAACACCGGUGGCGAAGGCGGGUCUCUGGGCCGAUACUGACGCUGAGGAGCGAAAGCGUGGGGAGCGAACAGG